GACGAACGCUAGCGGCGUGCCUAAUACAUGCAAGUCGAACGCAGUGGGGACGGGGGAGUAACACGUGGGUAACCUCCCAUCAGAGGGGAUAACAAUUGGAAACAGGUGCUAAACCGAUACUGAUGGAUGGACCCGCUGUGCAUUAGCUAGUUGGUGAUGUAACGGCACACCAGGGCCACGAUGCAUAGCCGACCUGAGAGGGUGAUCGGCCACACUGUGACUGAGACACGGCCCAGACUCCGCCGGGAGGCAGCAGUAGGGAAUCUUCGGCAAUGGACGAAAGUCUGACCGAGCAACGCCGCUUGAGUGAAGAAGGUUUUCGGAUCGUAAAGCUCUGGUGUUAGAGAAGCGGUAUCUAACCAGAAAGCCACGGCUAACGACGUGCCAGCAGCAGCGGUAAUAC
rnacentral:rRNA from 1 species